CAAAUUAAAGCUAAAAAGUAUUUCAUUUACAUUGAAAAGAUUAUUGUUAUUAAAAAUAAUUAAUUUGA
rnacentral:tRNA from 1 species